CCUACGGGAGGCAGCAGUGAGGAAUAUUGGUCAAUGGGCGCGAGCCUGAACCAGCCAAGUAGCGUGAAGGAUGACUGCCCUACGGGUUGUAAACUUCUUUUAUAAAGGAAUAAAGUGAGGCACGUGUGCCUUUUUGUAUGUACUUUAUGAAUAAGGAUCGGCUAACUCCGUGCCAGCAGCCGCGGUAAUACGGAGGAUCCGAGCGUUAUCCGGAUUUAUUGGGUUGAAAGGGAGCGUAGACGGGUUGUUAAGUCAGUUGUGAAAGGUCGCGGCUCAACCGGAAAAUUGCAAUUGAGACUGGCAGCCUUGAGUCCAGUAGAGGUGGGCAGAAUUCGUGGUGUAGCGGUGAAAUGCUUAGAUAUCACGAAGAAUACCGAUUGCGAAGGCAGCCUACUAAACUGCCACUGACAUUGAUGCUCGAAAGUGUGGGUAGCAAACAGGAUUAGAUACCCUUGUAGUC
rnacentral:rRNA from 1 species